GGUGCUUGCACCUGAUUGAUUUUGGUCGCCAACGAGUGGCGGACGGGUGAGUAACACGUAGGUAACCUGCCCAGAAGCGGGGGACAACAUUUGGAAACAGAUGCUAAUACCGCAUAACACCGUUGUUCGCAUGAACAACGCUUAAAAGAUGGCUUCUCGCUAUCACUUCUGGAUGGACCUGCGGUGCAUUAGCUUGUUGGUGGGGUAACGGCCUACCAAGGCGAUGAUGCAUAGCCGAGUUGAGAGACUGAUCGGCCACAAUGGGACUGAGACACGGCCCAUACUCCUACGGGAGGCAGCAGUAGGGAAUCUUCCACAAUGGGCGCAAGCCUGAUGGAGCAACACCGCGUGAGUGAAGAAGGGUUUCGGCUCGUAAGGCUCUGUUGUUAAAGAAGAACACGUAUGAGAGUAACUGUUCAUACGUUGACGGUAUUUAACCAGAAAGUCACGGCUAACUACGUGCCAGCAGCCGCGGUAAUACGUAGGUGGCAAGCGUUAUCCGGAUUUAUUGGGCGUAAAGAGAGUGCAGGCGGUUUUCUAAGUCUGAUGUGAAAGCCUUCGGCUUACCGGAGAAGUGCAUCGGAAACUGGAUAACUUGAGUGCAGAAGAGGGUAGUGGAACUCCAUGUGUACGGUGGAAUGCGUAGAUAUAUGGAAGAACCCAGUGGCGAAGGCGGCUACCUGGUCUGCACUGACGCUGAGACUCGAAAGCAU
rnacentral:rRNA from 2 species